CCUACUGGUGGCAGCAGUGAGGAAUAUUGGUCCAUGGGUGCGAGCCUGAACCAGCCACGUAGCGUGAAGGAUGACUGCCCUACGGGUUGUAAACUUCUUUUAUAAAGGCAUAAAGUGAGGCACGUGUGCCUUUUUGUAUGUACUUUAUGAAUAAGGAUCGGCUAACUCCGUUCCAGCAGCCGCGGUAAUACGGAGGAUCCGAGCGUUCUCCGGAUUUAUUGGGUUUAAAGGGAGCGUAGAUGGGUUGUUAAGUCAGUUGUGAAAGUUUGCGGCUCAACCGUAAAAUUGCAAUUGAUACUGGCAGCCUUGAGUACAGUUGAGGUAGGCGGAAUUCGUGGUGUAGCGGUGAAAUGCUUAGAUAUCACGAAGAACUCCGAUUGCGAAGGCAGCUUACUAAACUGCCACUGACAUUGAUGCUCGAAAGUGUGGGUAUCAAACAGGAGUAGAUACCCCAGUAGUC
rnacentral:rRNA from 1 species